rnacentral:rRNA from 1 species
UACGGAGGGAGCUAGCGUUGUUCGGAAUUACUGGGCGUAAAGCGCACGUAGGCGGCUCUUUAAGUCAGGGGUGAAAUCCCGGGGCUCAACCCCGGAACUGCCCUUGAAACUGGAAAGCUAGAAUCCUGGAGAGGUGAGUGGAAUUCCGAGUGUAGAGGUGAAAUUCGUAGAUAUUCGGAAGAACACCAGUGGCGAAGGCGACUCACUGGACAGGUAUUGACGCUGAGGUGCGAAAGCGUGGGGAGCAAAC